ensembl:snRNA U1 U1 spliceosomal RNA
ACACUUAUCUAGCAGGGGAGACACCAUGAUCACUAAGGUGGUUUUCCCAGGGCGAGGCAUAUCCAUUGCACUCCAGAUGUGCUGACUGCUGCAAUUUUCUCAAAUGAGGCAUACUCGACUGCAUAAUCUGUGGUAGUGGGGGACUGCAUUAGUGAAAGA